AAGGUGGUGUUUUGCUCUGUCAUCCAGGCUGGAGUGCAACGGCACAAUCUCAGCUCACUGCAACAUCUGCCUCCCAGGUUCAAGCCAUUGUCCUGCCUCAAGAGGAGAUUCUACUGUCUCAGCCUCCCGAGUAGCUGAAACUACAGGUCUUUAGAUAAUAACGCUUUCAACUGAUUGCCAAUCAGAAUAUCUUUGAAGCCACCUAUGACCUGGAAGCCCCCACCUUCCCGUUUUCUGGAACGAACCAGUGUACAACUUAUGCUUAUUGAUUGGUGUCUGUAUGUAACUUCUGUCCCCCUAAAAUACAUAAAAUCAAGCUGUGACCCAACUACCUUGGACACAUGUUCUCAGGACCUUCCAAGGCUGUGUCAUGGGUCAUGGUCCUCACAUUUGGCUCAGAAUAAAUCUCUUCAAAUA
rnacentral:antisense_RNA from 1 species